UGUGAGCCAGGUUGGUUUCUAUCUUUAAAUUAGAUGAAUAAUUUAGUACGAAAGGAUUAAUUAUUUAAUUAAUAAUUUUAAUUUGAAUAUUAAUGUUAUUUUGGCAGAAUAGUGCGUUAGAUUUAGAAUUUAUUUAUGUAAUUUAUUUUACAGGUAA
rnacentral:tRNA from 1 species